AUUGAACGCUGGCGGAAUGCUUUACACAUGCAAGUCGAACGGCAGCACGGACUUCGGUCUGGUGGCGAGUGGCGAACGGGUGAGUAAUACAUCGGAACGUGCCCAAUCGUGGGGGAUAACGUAGCGAAAGCUACGCUAAUACCGCAUACGAUCUAAGGAUGUAAGCGGGGGAUCGCAAGACCUCGCGCGAUUGGAGCGGCCGAUGGCAGAUUAGGUAGUUGGUAGGGUAAAGGCCUACCAAGCCGACGAUCUGUAGCUGGUCUGAGAGGAUGAUCAGCCACACUGGGACUGAGACACGGCCCAGACUCCUACGGGAGGCAGCAGUGGGGAAUUUUGGACAAUGGGCGAAAGCCUGAUCCAGCCAUUCCGCGUGCAGGAUGAAGGCCCUCGGGUUGUAAACUGCUUUUGUACAGAACGAAAAGGUUUCUACUAAUACUAGGAGCUCAUGACGGUACUGUAAGAAUAAGCACCGGCUAACUACGUGCCAGCAGCCGCCGUAA
rnacentral:rRNA from 1 species